rnacentral:rRNA from 1 species
GAUGAACGCUGGCGGCGUGCCUAAUACAUGCAAGUCGAGCGAACAGACGAGGAGCUUGCUCCUCUGACGUUAGCGGCGGACGGGUGAGUAACACGUGGAUAACCUACCUAUAAGACUGGGAUAACUUCGGGAAACCGGAGCUAAUACCGGAUAAUAUAUUGAACCGCAUGGUUCAAUAGUGAAAGACGGUUUUGCUGUCACUUAUAGAUGGAUCCGCGCUGCAUUAGCUAGUUGGUAAGGUAACGGCUUACCAAGGCAACGAUGCGUAGCCGACCUGAGAGGGUGAUCGGCCACCCUGGAACUGAGACACGGUCCAGACUCCUACGGGAGGCAGCAGUAGGGAAUCUUCCGCAAUGGGCGAAAGCCUGACGGAGCAAAGCCGCGUGAGUGAUGAAGGUCUUCGGAUCGUAAAACUCUGUUAUUAGGGAAGAACAAAUGUGUAAGUAACUAUGCACGUCUUGACGGUACCUAAUCAGAAAGCCACGGCUAACUACGUG